GACGAACGCUGGCGGCGUGGAUUAGGCAUGCAAGUCGAACGGUAUCAUCCUUUCGGGGGUGAGAGAGUGGCGAACUGGUGAGUAACACGUAGGUUAUCUACCCUCAAGACGGGGACAACCCAGGGAAACUUGGGCUAAUACCGGAUGUGAGCAACUUUUAGUUGUUUGAAAGGUGGCGUAAGCUGUCGCUUGGGGAUGAGCCUGCGUCCUAUUAGUUAGUUGGUGAGGUAACGGCUCACCUAGGCAAUGAUAGGUAGGCGGCCUUAACGGGUGGUCGCCCACACUGGGAUUGAGAUACGGCCCAGACUCCUACGGGAGGCAGCAGUCGAGAAUAGUCUACAAUGGCCGAAAGGCUGAUAGUGCGACGCCGCGUGAACGAAGAAGCCCUUCGGGGUGUAAAGUUCUUUUAUAUGUGAGCAGUGCUUUCUAUGUGAACAGCAUGGGGAGAGAGAUAUUAGCAUAUGAAUAAGCAAACGGCUAAACUCCGUGCCAGCAGCCCGGGU
rnacentral:rRNA from 1 species